rnacentral:rRNA from 1 species
AUUGAACGCUGGCGGCAGGCCUAACACAUGCAAGUCGAACGGUAACAGGAAGCAGCUUGCUGCUUCGCUGACGAGUGGCGGACGGGUGAGUAAUGUCUGGGAAGCUGCCUGAUGGAGGGGGAUAACUACUGGAAACGGUAGCUAAUACCGCAUAAUGUCGCAAGACCAAAGAGGGAGACCUUCGGGCCUCUUGCCAUCGGAUGUGCCCAGAUGGGAUUAGCUUGUUGGUGGGGUAACGGCUCACCAAGGCGACGAUCCCUAGCUGGUCUGAGAGGAUGACCAGCCACACUGGGACUGAGACACGGUCCAGACUCCUACGGGAGGCAGCAGUGGGGAAUAUUGCACAAUGGGCGCAAGCCUGAUGCAGCCAUGCCGCGUGUAUGAAGAAGGCCUUCGGGUUGUAAAGUACUUUCAGCGGGGAGGAAGGGAGUAAAGUUAAUACCUUUGCUCAUUGACGUUACCCGCAGAAGAAGCACCGGCUAACUCCGUG